GAACGCGAAGAACCUUACCUGGCCUUGACAUAGUAGAGACUUUCCAGAGAUGGAUUGGUGCCUUCGGGAAUCUACAUACAGGUGCUGCAUGGCUGUCGUCAGCUCGUGUCGUGAGAUGUUGGGUUAAGUCCCGCAACGAGCGCAACCCUUGUCAUUAGUUGCCAUCAUUAAGUUGGGCACUCUAAUGAGACUGCCGGUGACAAGCCGGAGGAAGGUGGGGAUGACGUCAAGUCCUCAUGGCCCUUAUGACCAGGGCUUCACACGUCAUACAAUGGUCGGUACAGAGGGUAGCCAAGCCGCGAGGUGGAGCCAAUCUCACAAAACCGAUCGUAGUCCGGAUUGCACUCUGCAACUCGAGUGCAUGAAGUCGGAAUCGCUAGUAAUCGCAGGUCAGCAUACUGCGGUGAAUACGUUCCCGGGUCUUGUACACACC
rnacentral:rRNA from 1 species